rnacentral:SRP_RNA from 1 species
GCCGUGUGUGGUGGCACACGUCUGUAGUCCCAGCUACUUGGGAGGCUGAGUCAGGAGGAUGGCUUGAGCCCAGGAGUUCUGGGCUAUUGUGAACUAUGUGAUCGGGCAUCUGCACUAAGUUUGGCAUCAAUAUGGUGACGUUUUGGGAGGAAGGGACCACUAGGUUGCCUAAGGUGUCUGAGGAGGGGUUUCCAGGUUGGAAAUGGAGCAGCUGAGCUGGACACUCCUGAGCUGAUCAGUAGUGCGACUGCUCCUGUGAGUAGCCGCUGCACUCCAGCUUGGGCAGCAUAGCGAGACCCCACUUCU